GAUGAAGAACGUAGCGAAAUGCGAUAAGUAGUGUGAAUUGCAGAAUUCAGUGAAUCAUCGAAUCUUUGAACGCACAUUGCGCCCUUUGGUAUUCCAAAGGGCAUGCCUGUUCGAGCGUCAUUAUAACCCCUCAAGCUCAGCUUGGUGUUGGGGCCUGCUGCACUGGCAGCCCUUAAAAUCAGUGGCGGCGCCAUCUGGCUCUAAGCGUAGUAAUUCUUCUCGCUAUGGAGUCCUGGUGGAUGCUUGCCAUCAACCCCCAAUUUUUCUAUGGUUGACCUCGGAUCAGGUAGGGAUACCCGCUGAACUUAAGCAUAUCAAUAAGCGGAGGA
rnacentral:misc_RNA from 1 species